UACGAAGGGGGCUAGCGUUGCUCGGAAUCACUGGGCGUAAAGCGCACGUAGGCGGCUUUUUAAGUCAGGGGUGAAAUCCUGGAGCUCAACUCCAGAACUGCCUUUGAUACUGAGAAGCUUGAGUCCGGGAGAGGUGAGUGGAACUCCGAGUGUAGAGGUGAAAUUCGUAGAUAUUCGGAAGAACACCAGUGGCGAAGGCGGCUCACUGGUCCGGUACUGACGCUGAGGUGCGAAAGCGUGGGGAGCAAACAGG
rnacentral:rRNA from 1 species